AAACAUAAUUGAAAGGGGAUUAGGGUUGCACCUGUGUGGCGAUUCAGCUUAUUCUCUUCUCCUUCUUCGCGAUGAAACGGUGCGGCUCUCUCCCUCUUCCCCGACGAAUUCUCUUCCUCGCCGUGAGAUCACCGUUCGGACACGCCUUCGUCACUUUGCCAUACUCUUAUCUCUCUCGAUCCCUCUCGUAUACAUGGCUAACAACAAACAAGCUCGGAGACCGGCGAUUCGUCCAUCAUGACAAAGACGAAUGAAAUCCAGAAACUCCUUUGCGACAAGAGAGUGUGAAGAUUGAAGUGUGAAGAUGAAUUGAUGAUGAUGUUGCUAUCGUGAAGAUGGAGAAGGGUUGAAGAAUGUGAAGGUGAUGAAGGUUCUGAGAUGAAGAGAGAGUGGUGGAAGAGUCAGGGUAGGGAGAGGAUUGGAGUGAUGAUUGAUGAGUGAAAUAGUUGGAGGAGGUGCAGACGAUGAUGGAGAGCGAGUGAAGAUGCCCCUGUUUCUCUUAUAUAGAAUUUGAAGAAAGGAAGAUAGCUUCAAUGUUCAGGGACAGGUUUAUGUUUAAAGCAACUUGGUGAGUGCAAAGAGACUUGGCAUGGUUGGAUGAGCAAAAUGAAUCAAGGCUAAGGAUAAGAACAAGUCACCCUAGGUUUAGGAAUUUGAUUUUUUUGUAAUGAAUUUUGUAAGAAAAAGAUACACUCGAUUUAUGUAUGGAUACUUGAAUGAUUGUUGAAAGGAUUAUGGGUGGAUUGUAUUUUGUAAUGAGUUCGAAAUCUUGGACUUAAUUGUAAACAAAGUGUACUCUUUUUUUUUUUGUAAUUUUCGGAAGAAUAUACAAUGUACUUUUGUUCUUUAAAAUGAUUCGUAAACUCCGCAUAAACUCAAGUUAAAUCUCGAUGUGGUAUCCCAUAGUUUGAUGACGGAAAAGCCCACAACUCAAACCUUGACUUUUGAUCAUGAUGGAUGUAUAAAUAAUUUGAAUCCACCUUAAGUGAGAGCCUUGAAACAAUGGUAAAAUUGCAACUCUUCAAAAUCCUUAAUCGCUAGAUGAAUGCGUGACUUAUGUUAGAUGGCCUAAUAUGCGAAUGAUUAUAAGAACAAUGAGCCAGUUAGGAGUAAAAAAUGGAUGGGCAAAUUUUGGGGUGCAACAGCUGCCCCUAUUUAAUCAUCUUAAACCUGAAGGAGAGAUUGGUGUUAGCC